rnacentral:other from 1 species
GCGGAGCUGCUGGGCGCGACAGGUAACUCAUCCCCAGGGCCACUAAGCAUCUCCCUCGGGAACUGGCGCUGUCGGGAUCUUGGUCUCGGUAUCUGGUGCCCACCUGCAAACGCAGGCCUUGGGAGGAUGGUAACGCCACCGGCUUCGGCGGCUCCACU